rnacentral:rRNA from 1 species
CAAUAGCGUAUACUAAUGUUGUUGCAGUUAAAAAGCUCGUAGUUGAACUUCUGGUAGGAGUGUCCCGGCCUUUUUGUUUUUACAAAUUGUAUGCUGUGUGACAUCUCUGGCCAUCCUUCUUCUUUGUUUAAAGAAGAUCUUUCACUGUAAAAAAAUUAGGGUGUUCAAAGCAAAAGUUUCUUUGGAAUAUAUUAGUAUGGGAUGAUAAGAUAGGCUCUAGAUGCUAUUUUGUUGGUUUGCACAUUUAGAGAAUGAUUAACAGGGACAGUUGGGGGUAUUCGUAUUUACAUGUCAGAGGUGAAAUUCUUGGAUUUACGGAAGACGAACUACUGCGAAAGCAUUUACCAAGGAUGUUUUCAUUAA